GAUGAAGAACGUAGCGAAAUGCGAUACGUAAUGUGAAUUGCAGAAUUUAGUGAAUCAUCGAGUCUUUGAACGCACAUUGCGCCCCCUGGUAUUCCGGGGGGCAUGCCUGUCCGAGCGUCAUUGCUGCCCUCAAGCACGGCUUGUGUGUUGGGCCUCCGUCCUCCUCCCGGGGGACGGGCCCGAAAGGCAGCGGCGGCACCGCGUCCGGUCCUCGAGCGUAUGGGGCUUCGUCACCCGCUCUUGUAGGCCCGGCCGGCGCUUGCCGACACAUCAAUCUUUUUUCCAGGUUGACCUCGGAUCAGGUAGGGAUACCCGCUGAACUUAAGCAUAUCAAUAAGCGGAGGA
rnacentral:misc_RNA from 1 species